rnacentral:piRNA from 1 species
AUGUUACUGCAGUAUAAUCUGGAUGAAAA